rnacentral:rRNA from 1 species
UGGGGAAUAUUGGACAAUGGGCGAAAGCCUGAUCCAGCCAUGCCGCGUGUGUGAAGAAGGUCUUCGGAUUGUAAAGCACUUUAAGCGAGGAGGAGGCUACUUUAGUUAAUACCUAGAGAUAGUGGACGUUACUCGCAGAAUAAGCACCGGCUAACUCUGUGCCAGCAGCCGCGGUAAUACAGAGGGUGCAAGCGUUAAUCGGAUUUACUGGGCGUAAAGCGCGCGUAGGCGGCUAAUUAAGUCAAAUGUGAAAUCCCCGAGCUUAACUUGGGAAUUGCAUUCGAUACUGGUUAGCUAGAGUGUGGGAGAGGAUGGUAGAAUUCCAGGUGUAGCGGUGAAAUGCGUAGAGAUCUGGAGGAAUACCGAUGGCGAAGGCAGCCAUCUGGCCUAACACUGACGCUGAGGUGCGAAAGCAUGGGGAGCAAACAGG